rnacentral:rRNA from 1 species
CCUACGGGCGGCUGCAGUGAGGAAUAUUGGUCAAUGGACGAGAGUCUGAACCAGCCAAGUAGCGUGAAGGAUGACUGCCCUAUGGGUUGUAAACUUCUUUUAUAUGGGAAUAAAACGUUCCACGUGUGGGAUUUUGUAUGUACCAUAUGAAUAAGGAUCGGCUAACUCCGUGCCAGCAGCCGCGGUAAUACGGAGGAUCCGAGCGUUAUCCGGAUUUAUUGGGUUUAAAGGGAGCGUAGGUGGAUUGUUAAGUCAGUUGUGAAAGUUUGCGGCUCAACCGUAAAAUUGCAGUUGAAACUGGCAGUCUUGAGUACAGUAGAGGUGGGCGGAAUUCGUGGUGUAGCGGUGAAAUGCUUAGAUAUCACGAAGAACUCCGAUGGCGAAGGCAGUUCACUGGACUGCAACUGACACUGAGGCUCGAAAGUGUGGGUAUCAAACAGGAUUAGAUACCCUUGUAGUC